GAGUUUGAUCCUGGCUCAUGACGAACGCUGGCGGCGUGCUUAACACAUGCAAGUCGAACGGAAAGGCCCCGCUCGCGGGGUACUCGAGUGGCGAACGGGUGAGUAACACGUGGGUGAUCUGCCCUGCACUUCGGGAUAAGCCUGGGAAACUGGGUCUAAUACCGGAUAUGACCUCCCUUUAGUGUGGGGGGUGGAAAGAUUUAUCGGUGCAGGAUGAGCCCGCGGCCUAUCAGCUUGUUGGUGGGGUAAUGGCCUACCAAGGCGUCGACGGGUAGCCGGCCUGAGAGGGUGGACGGCCACAUUGGGACUGAGAUACGGCCCAGACUCCUACGGGAGGCAGCAGUGGGGAAUAUUGCACAAUGGGCGGAAGCCUGAUGCAGCGACGCCGCGUGGGGGAUGACGGCCUUCGGGUUGUAAACCUCUUUCGACAGGGACGAAGUGAAAAUGACGGUACCUGUAUAAGAAGCACCGGCUAACUACGUGCCAGCAGCCGCGGUAAUACGUAGGGUGCGAGCGUUGUCCGGAAUUACUGGGCGUAAAGAGCUCGUAGGUGGUUUGUCACGUCGUCUGUGAAAUUCCGGGGCUUAACCUCGGGCGUGCAGGCGAUACGGGCAAUACUUGAGUGCUGUAGGGGAGACUGGAAUUCCUGGUGUAGCGGUGAAAUGCGCAGAUAUCAGGAGGAACACCAAUGGCGGAAGGCAGGUCUCUGGGCCAGUUACUGACGCUGAGGAGCGAAAGCAUGGGUAGCGAACAGGAUUAGAUACCCUGGUAGUCCAUGCCGUAAACGGUGGGCGCUAGGUGUAGGGGACUUCCACGUUCUCUGUGCCGUAGCUAACGCAUUAAGCGCCCCGCCUGGGGAGUACGGCCGCAAGGCUAAAACUCAAAGGAAUUGACGGGGGCCCGCACAAGCGGCGGAGCAUGUGGAUUAAUUCGAUGCAACGCGAAGAACCUUACCUGGGCUUGACAUACACCGGACCGGCGUAGAGAUACGUCUUCCCUUGUGGCCGGUGUACAGGUGGUGCAUGGUUGUCGUCAGCUCGUGUCGUGAGAUGUUGGGUUAAGUCCCGCAACGAGCGCAACCCUUGUCUUAUGUUGCCAGCACGUGAUGGUGGGGACUCAUGAGAGACUGCCGGGGUCAACUCGGAGGAAGGUGGGGAUGACGUCAAAUCAUCAUGCCCCUUAUGUCCAGGGCUUCACACAUGCUACAAUGGUCGGUACAGCAGGUCGCGAACUCGUGAGAGUAAGCCAAUCCUUCAAAGCCGGCCUCAGUUCGGAUUGGGGUCUGCAACUCGACCCCAUGAAGUCGGAGUCGCUAGUAAUCGCAGAUCAGCAACGCUGCGAUGAAUACGUUGCCCGGGCCUGUACACACCGCCCGUCAAGGGAG
rnacentral:rRNA from 1 species